rnacentral:rRNA from 1 species
CAGCGCCACGAGUGGCGAUCCUUUUUAUUUGGCCUAAAGCGUCCGUAGCUGGUUUAGUAAAUCUCUUGUGAAAUCGUUAAGCUUAACUUAACGGCGUGCAGGAGAGACUGCUAGACUAGGGACCGGGAGGAGUCAGAGGUAUGCUUGGGGGAGCGGUAAAAUGCUAUAAUCCCUAGUGGACCACCUGUGGCGAAGGCGUCUGACUAGAACGGGUCCGACAGUGAGGGACGAAAGCCAGGGGAGCAAACCGGAUUAGAUACCCGAGUAGUCC